CUUUGACCUGAAGCAGCACCUCCUUCUUCAUCAGGAUGUUUCCCUCCCUGCUGUAGACGGUGCAGGUGUAGGUGUCUGUGUCCCAGUCUGUGGGGUAUUUCAGGGUCAGACUGAGGUCUCCAGUUCUCAGCAGGUCUUCAUUCAUCUCUGUUCGGUCUCUGUAAACCUGGUUCUGUUCUUCA